CACUAAUGGUGAAUGAUAGCAGGGCAGGACUAACGCCAUUGGCUUAUAAAGUGUGGGUGUGCAUGAAUUGGAAGCAUCAAUGCAAACAUGAGCACUAUUCAGUCUAUCGCUGAGAACUACCAAUCCUUCAAUCCCAGAGCAUACCUGCAGAAUAAUUACAUACCACCAAGGGCAGACUUCGACAACCCAGGCAGCGUGGUGCCGUGGAAGCUGAGAUGCCUGGCCGACGCGUGUGCCUCAGGUACGUCAAUUUUUAAUCUACUCCGGUCACCUAAUUCUUGACAGCCUCUCCGGGAUGCACCGGAUCAAAUUCAAGAUAAAAAUGGUCAAUGCGCUAAACACUGAAUUGAAAACCAAAUUGCACAAUUUUAGACCAAAAGAGACGAGUUGGAAAAAUUCUGCAAUUCAACGGGUUGUGUGUGUGUGUGUUUUUUUUUUACUAAAGCGGGGGUAGGCAACGCUCGGCACCCCACUUGUUGUGGACUACAUCUCCCCUGAUGCUUUGCUAGCCUUAUGGGUGAUGUAGUCCACAAUAUCCGGAGUGCCAAAGCUUGCCUACUGCUGCAUUGCAAUUUGGUGUAUAGUGGAUACCCUCUCUCCUAAACUACGGUUGUCCUAUAAAAUUUUACAUAGCAAAAAUACGCAGGGGUGUGCCUUUAAUUAGAUUUACUCAAAGUAAACAUUUUAAUCGUGUGUGCGUCCCUGUGCUGGAAGACCUGUUGUAAUACAGGGUGUAGUAUACGAAGCUAUAGAUCUGUAAUUUUAAAUCUAUUCUGUGUGUAAUUAUUUUUACAUUCCAAUUGUUUUGUGGUUUGUGUGGGUGUUUUUUACGGUUUUUAGUACAGAAAUCAAUAUGCAAAUAGGGGUUAUUAACUAUAUGCUUUUUAUCAGUUUAGGUUUUUUUGCGUGUCUGUUUUUACUUGCUAGCUAAAUCAUUGUUAAGUGGAUAGAGCACAUUAGGGAAAAAAAAGUAGAUUUUUAAAUCAAGGUUUUUAUAUGAGAAUGGGAGCUCUUAACUGCUUUCACAAAAGAGCGAUUAUGUGGGAACUGUAUAAAAUUCAUACAUUGCAGUUAGGUCGAAGAUAAAAAUGAAUUUUGGGCAGGAUAGAGCUGGGUAGCUCAAGCAGAUAUUUGCCAGAUGUACCACAUUUAAUUGGCUGGUAUGGCCACUAGUUGGUUUGAAGUGGGAAAAUCAGAGUUUAACAAAAGUGGAAUGCGGCAAGGGGGGGGGGGGAUGCAGUGUAGGAUCAUGGGUAUCUGAUGGACGCUGUUGUCAAACUGUUCCAAACUGGUUUGACUCUUCAACGGAGGAAGACGCAAAGGGACUCCAGGCACCAUAACCACUACCGCACACUGUAGUUUUUAUGGUGCUUAGAUUGUCCCUUUUUUUUUAAGGAUGUGUACUGUCAUAUAAUGAAAAAUAAAACCAUACACAAUUAAAUUCAUAAUUUUUGCAAGUUAAAUCUGAAUGGAAAAACUGAGGCAACAAAAAUGCUGAUCUGAGAAAAUUCUCAAACUCUACCAUAGUCACAACUUGGCUAUUUUGCAUCAGUUUUACCUUCUAUAUCUUUUGGGGCAAACUGUUUUCUGGCACUGCAGGUCCCCACCCCAGGUGAUUGUGAUCAAACUUAUACUACAGAUUUACAGCCAAGAACCGCAAAUUUGGCUGUUAAAGGACCACUAUAGGCACCCAGACCUGUUUGUGUUUGUGUGUUUUUUUUUGUUUUUUUUAAUUUUUUUAUUCCAGAGAAUUUGGAGUUUAGCGAAUAACCCUUUGAGAGCUUCCUACUCAGGGCAGUAACUGACAUGACUUUUUUGACAGUCUGAAUUCUAACUUAAUCCUCAAUCUCAUAGAGCUGAGAAAUCCAAGAUGGCUGCCCCUGGGGCCAUUAUUAGAGGCCAAUAAUAAUUUUUGCUCCACUUUGAUACAGUUAUGUGAUGUUCUGUUAUCCUGAAAUAUCAAAUAAGCUCUAAGAGAUGUAACUGGUCACCAAUGCUAUCUUGGUCUAAAAUGUAAAAUCCACUUUGAAUUCUUAUUUUGGUAAAUAGCUCUGCACAUAUCUGUUGAAAACAGCUAAGGUCUAAUCUACUUUAAAAUUUGAUAUCAACCCAUCUCUGUGCGUCUUUGUCUGCAGGUGAGAUUGGAGGGCAGCUUAUGGUAGACAUUGGCACAGGGCCCACGGUGUACCAGCUACUUAGCGCGUUUGAGCUGUUUAAAGAAGUGGUUCUGACUGAUUAUUUGGAAGUGAAUCGGGACGAGAUUAGGAAGUGGCUACGCGGUGAGACAGGAACGUUUGAUUGGGGCCCUUACAUCAAGCAUGUCUGCAAUAUAGAAGGAAAGGGGUAAGUUGAUCCAUUGGUGGUAGAUUAGGUCUGAGUGUCAAAUCAGCUUCAAUUGCCUGGGAGUAAAUGGAAAAAUUAUUUUAGUACAAAACUGGCACCGGGAAAGUAAAACUGUUGCUUCUUACUUUUACAAAAUAACAAGCAAAUUUCUUAGUUUUAAGGCAAGAUAGUGGUACAUGCAUCUCCGAUCUACAAUGUAUUGGGUUGCCAGAUUCUUGACCUUGAACUGUUGUAUGUGGUGAUGGGAAGCAGCCAAAAAGUGUUUUCCUAUCAUGUUAAAGGGAAGGAGAAAAAUUAAGUAAUCAAAGAGAAAUAUCAAAGCAACUAAUUAAUAAAAGCUGCAGCAUGUAAAUGCCCCAGACUCUCCACCUCUUCCUGGACACAUCUCUAUAUGUAAAAAGAUGCCCAGUGGCAUACUUAGGGAGGCAGUCUAGAAGACAUCAGUGGAAGGGCCCCUGUGACUCUGAGGGCCUCCACAAACUAGUGCACCCCUCUGUACAGUUACCAGUUGUAAGUAGGAACAGAAUGCAGGUCAGAGCCUGGUAAAUGUUGUCUGAGCAGACAGGGGAAGGAUAAUGAAUUAAUGUCAUAUUCAGCCUCUCUAUUCGCUCACAUAGCAUGCAGCACACCUGGAUGUUUAAUGAGUAACCCUGCUAAGGUGCAUACGUGGCCUCUGAUGCCAUUCAACCACAUUACAAGAGUCCACAUAGGUGAAAAGGGGUUGGAAAGACACAAAAGCGGAUCAGGACGUGGAGAGAGACUCAAAUGGAUCAUUUCCUUUACAGACUUAAAGACCCACGUAGGGGAAGUGGUGAGAGAGGUACUUGUAGAAGGGAGACACAAGUUGGGAGGUAUGCAGGUGAGAUCCGUACAGGAAUGGUGGGGAUAGGGCUGGUGCCACUAACUGCCCCCAAUUAAAAGGGCAAUGCAUUGAAAAUAUAUCAAAAUGAACUUGGUGGAGGGCAGCAGGUGGUGAAGACCAUAAUAACCCUUUCCUCGCAGGUGAUACACUCAUACACCAUGUAUUACUAUGUUUUAAUGCCAAGGAGGUCAUGGUAAAUUAGUAUAUGCAUCCUUACUGAGGUGAGAGGGGUGCAACAAAAUGUCUUUGUUGCUAUUCUUUUUGCCCUCCCCUCCCAACCCACAUGUACAUUUUUGCUCCAAUACUGUAGUUUAAAUCCCAGCAUGGGUUUAUUGGAGUAGUACAAACUGUAACCCCCUAGCUGUGCCUAUAUUUCAGCUGGUAUGGGAUAAUUCAGCAGCACUGUGUAGGCAGUUAAAUAAACAUUCAAAUUGGCUGAGUUCAUUCCUGGUUGCAAAAACGGAAUGUGAUGUUAAAUCUGCACAGACUGCAGAUUUGCAACCCGUACAGGAAAUACAAAUGAGGUGUUUGGGUUUUUUUUUUUUGUUUUGUUUAAUAGUUCAUCACUGUUUUUAUGUAAAAUACUUUGUUUUUAAAAAACACUUUAAUAGCAGUAAGAUGUACCCUUCUUAAUUUGCUGUAUCUAAAGGCUUCUACUUUCUAUCUAUUCUACCUUCUCAGAGAACCAUGGGAAGAGAAACAGAACCGUCUCAGAGCUCGGGUAUCCAAAGUUAUCCCAGUGGACGUCCACCAACUCUGUCCGUUGGGUAAAGAGUUGGGUCCUGGCUCAAUUGAUACCUUGGUUUCUUCAUUCUGCUUGGAGGCCUGCAGUCCAGACUAUGAGGCAUUUAAAAAGGCCCUUGGGAAUAUUACAGGACUACUUAAGCCUGGGGGUCACUUUCUGAUGAUUGGGGCUUUAGAAGAGUCAUUCUACAUGGCAGGAGAGGCAAAACUCGGUGUAGUGAGUCUCACAGAAGAAAUGACAAAAAAAGCACUUUGUGAUGCGGGCUAUAAAAUCAGGGAUUUCCGUGCCUAUGUUAUGCCUCAAAGCAUGAGAACCGAUGUGGAUGAUACCAAAGGAAUUUUCUUUGCUUGGGCCCAGAAGAAGGAGACAAAAUGAGGACAUAUCUAUCCGGCAUGAAGUAAAAUCACUUUCUAACCAAAAGGGUUAUUCAUGAAAGGGAAAAGUGCUGGGAAUUUCAAAGCGAAUUAUAAAAUUUAAGGAAAAAAUACGUGAAUUAGAAAAAGUAAAUUCUGUUUUCAGUUUGGCUAAUUUGGCCUUAAAUUUAAAAUUCAAUGUAUUGCUUUAUUGAAUAACCCUGCAAGACAUAUUCUGCUGUCGCACACCAUUUCCAGUGCAAAGUAUAUCUCUGAUGUGUAAUCUUUAAAUAUUAAUAUAAUAAAGCGAAUUCACUGCUGCA
rnacentral:lncRNA from 1 species